GACGAACGCUGGCGGCGUGCCUAACACAUGCAAGUCGAACGGAAAGGUCGGGCCUAUGUGCGCAGGGGUAGGUGCGAAGGGGUAAGUUACACGUGAGUACGGUGUACCUCACCUAGGGGGAUCCUAAUAAAACAUAGGGUCAUCGGGGAAAGGAUCUUUGGCUGUUGGAUGGGGGCGGGUUGGAUUCGUGGGUUGGUAGGGGAAAAGCAUACCAAGGCGACGAUGCAUAGCUGGUCUGAGAGGAUGAUCAGCCACACUGGGACUGAGACACGGCCCAGACUCCUACGGGAGGGAGCAGUGGGGAAUAUUGGACAAGGGGCGAAAGCCUGAUCAAGCAAUGCCGCGUGAGUGAUGAAGGCCUUAGGGUUGUAAAGCUCUUUUAGCCGGGAUGAUAAUGACAGUACCGGGAGAAUAAGCUCCGGCUAACUCCGUG
rnacentral:rRNA from 1 species